rnacentral:lncRNA from 1 species
UUUGCAACAAUGAAAAUGAUCAAGUCAAAAAUUUCUAUCAAAUUUCAGAAUUUGGCACAUAGAAUUUCAGAAUUUGGCACGCACCUUUCACACCUCGAUACAUAACCUGAAACUCUUGUUUUAUCUCAAAUUUUUGGAGUUUCAUCUUUAAUGAAUUAUAAAUGAAAGGGGGAGCAAUUCAAAAAUUCAAAUUGGCAACAUUUGAAUGAUAUAGGGGGAGACUUCACUCUUAUAUAUGAAAAGCUGAAAUUCAGCAAGUUAAGCCCUUUCAAAAACUGAUUUUAAGAUAAGUAUCAAUAGGCUCAUACUCUUUAUUUUGUAAUCAUCAAAAAGGGGGAGAUUGAGGAUGAUAGUGUUAUUUUGAUGAUUAACAAGCAAUUAUCUAGAGUAUGUUAUAAGUUAAAUCGAUNN